rnacentral:misc_RNA from 1 species
GAAGCUUCCUGGUGCUGAAGGAAAGGCGAAAAGUAAACUGUGCUUCGAUAUCUCGCGCAAGGACGCCGCUCACGCUAUCGUGUCAACACGCGCUGAUAUAGUCUUCGAAGCGAAACAUACACGCGUCAUGUCUCACGCUUCACUUCUAGCAGCGGCGCUCAGCAUAUCGGUCACCACUAUUGGCGCCGGUGUGCUGGCAAUACCAGCCACAUUCGAGUCGGAUGGGGUCGCGCUGGUGGCACUCGCCCUGCUCGUCGUCGGCGUCUUCACUGUCGUCUCCAUCGACUUUCUAAUCCUGUGCAUUAACAAACUGGGCGCGAAUAGCUACGAGGAGAUCUCUGACAAGCUGCUGGGGCGAGCCUUCAAAGAAAUUAUUCGCUGGAUGCUGAUUGUGUACAACAUCGGCACCGCUGUUGGGUACAUUGUCGUCAUUGGCGAGAUAUUCACCCCGAUGCUGCCGGUGAUCCGCUUGUACGUGCCGUGGCUCUCGUCGUCGUCGCACAUAAUGAUUGCAUCAUGGUCGUUGGUGAUGCUGCCUUUAUCGUGCUUGCCGAAAGUGUCGCACCUGUACGUGACCUCAUUCCUAGCCAUCGCCGCGACCUUCUUCAUCUCCGGCAUCAUCGUCUACCGCUACUUUGUACCGCUGAGCUCGGCCCCGGCUGCGAGGAAUUCCGAGGAGGACAUCAAGUAUUUCUGCGUCUCUCGCCGGUCACUCCUGGCGCUUCCCGUAGUGAUGUUCGCCUUCGACUGUCAAUCUCUCGUAUUCCAAGUAUGGACGGAGCUAGCCUACCCUUCGCGGGGCAGCAUGGCAAAAGUGGCUACUGUUAGCGUGCUUGUCACAAGUCUGGUCUACGGCGUAGUCGGAUUUUUCGGGUACAUGGCCAACACCCCGCACGUGCACGGCAACAUCUUGACCAACUAUGACCCAAUGCGUGAUCGCCUCUUUGCCAUCGGUGAAACCUUCUACUCCAUCACCGUCAAUGUCGCCUACGUCUUGAUUCUCAUUCCGUGCCGCGAUGCCAUCUUCCAAAUGUGGUACGGCUUCAGCCACACCCACGAGUCUCUAGAGAUCCCCCAUCACAGCAACCUCCUUGUGAGUGUUUUACUAUCGUUUUUUUGCUUGUGUCUCGCACUGCUGGCGCCGGGAUUUCUGUACAUUGUAGCACUCAUGGGCGCUUUCUGUAGCAGCACGCUGUGUUUCACCUAUCCGGCCCUCUUCCGGCAGCGCCUUCACAUUCUCGGGCUGGCACCGUACGCCGGGUACGAGCGCCUCGCCGUGUGGGCCAUGUACUUCUUUGGGUUUUCCGGUGCCAUGAUGGGCUUCUUCGUCCUUGUUGGGAUGUAACAGGUCGCAGCUUCUCCUCCACUGUUGUUUUUCUUUCCGUGUGUGUGUGUGUGUGUGUGUGCGUCGAGGGAGGAGGGGUGUUCAUGAGUCGCGAAGCGUCCAUGCGUCGUAUUCUCCCUUUUCUUUGUUUUGUCGCCACACGAAUCGCGGGCUGUGUGCGGCAUUUUUAUUUUUUUUUGAGUUGUUCCCCCAGCCAACUGACAAUCAUGUGUGAGUAUUCGUGUGUUGUUGUGGCACCCUUAUCCUUUCUUUCUGUUGUUGUUUCUUACCCCCGUUUGUGCACCGCAACGUCCUUCCCCUCUUUCUGCAUAUCCUCAUCACUCCACGGUAAUACCACCACUGUGCUCAUUCCUCACUAACGUCUAACGAAAAAAAAAACACUGUCCAUCACGGAAGCCGUUUUGCCGCACAUCGGCAACGAUGAGCCGAGAAGGA